rnacentral:rRNA from 1 species
ACGCUGGCGGCACGCCUAACACAUGCAAGUCGAACGCAGUAGCAAUACUGAGUGGCGAACGGGUGAGUAUAAUGUGGGAAUCUGCCUUUUGGUUUGGAAUAACACGGGGAAACUUGUGCUAAUACCGAAUAAGCCUUCACAGGGAAAGUUUUAACGCCGAAAGAUGAGCCCGCACUUGAUUAGCUAGUUGGUAAGGUAAAAGCUUACCAAGGCAAUGAUCAAUAGCUGUUCUUAGAGGAAGACCAGCCACAUUGGGACUGAGACACGGCCCAGACUCCUACGGGAGGCAGCAGUGGGGAAUCUUGCACAAUGGGGGAAACCCUGAUGCAGCGAUGCCGCGUGAGUGAAGAAGGCCUUUGGGUUGUAAAACUCUUUCGUCGGGGAAGAAAAUGACUGUACCCGAAUAAGAAGGUCCGGCUAACUUCGUGCCAGCAGCCGCGGUAAUACGAAGGGACCUAGCGUAGUUCGGAAUUACUGGGCUUAAAGAGCUCGUAGGUGGUUAAAAUAGUUGAUGGUGAAAUCCCAAGGCUUAACCUUGGAACUGCCAUCAAAACUUUUUAGCUAGAGUGUGAUAGAGGUAAGUGGAAUUUCUAGUGUAGAGGUGAAAUUCGUAGAUAUUAGAAAGAAUACCAAUUGCGAAGGCAGCUUUCUGGAUCAUUACUGACACUGAGGAACGAAAGCAUGGGUAGCGAAGAGGAUUAGAUACCCUCGUAGUCCAUGCCGUAAACGAUGUGUGUUAGACGUUGGAAAUUUAUUUUCAGUGUCGCAGGGAAACCGAUAAACACACCGCCUGGGGAGUACGACCGCAAGGUUAAAACUCAAAUGAAUUGACGGGGACCCGCACAAGUAGUGGAGCAUGUGGUUUAAUUCGAAGAUACGCGCAGAACCUUACCAACACUUGACAUGUUCGUCGCGACUCUAAGAGAUUAGAGUUUUCGGUUCGGCCGGACGAAACACAGGUGCUGCAUGGCUGUCGUCAGCUCGUGUCGUGAGAUGUUGGGUUAAGUCCCGCAACGAGCGCAACCCUCACUUUUAGUUGCCAUCAUUAAGUUGGGCACUCUGAAAGAACUGCCAGUGAUAAGCUGGAGGAAGGUGGGGAUGACGUCAAGUCCUCAUGGCCCUUACGUGUUGGGCUACACACGUGCUACAAUGGCAUCUACAACAGGAAGCAAAACGGCAACGUUAAGCAAAUCCCGAAAAGAUGCCUCAGUUCGGAUUGCACUCUGCAACUCGAGUGCAUGAGGCUGGAAUUACUAGUAAUCGUGGAUCAGCGUGCCACGGUGAAUGCGUUCCCGGGUCUUGUACACACCGCCCGUCACACCAUGGGAGUUGGUUCUACCUUAAGGCAAGGUUUUAAACCCUUGACCACGGUAUAGUCAGCGACUGGGGUGAAGUCGUAACAAGGUAGCCGUAGGGGAACCUGC